CGAGCGGUAAGGCCCUUCGGGGUACACGAGCGGCGAACGGGUGAGUAACACGUGGGUGAUCUGCCUUGCACUCUGGGAUAAGCCUGGGAAACUGGGUCUAAUACCGGAUAUGACUUCCAGUUGCAUGAUUGGGAGUGGAAAGAUUUAUCGGUGCAAGAUGAGCCCGCGGCCUAUCAGCUUGUUGGUGGGGUAAUGGCCUACCAAGGCGACGACGGGUAGCCGGCCUGAGAGGGCGAUCGGCCACACUGGGACUGAGACACGGCCCAGACUCCUACGGGAGGCAGCAGUGGGGAAUAUUGCACAAUGGGCGGAAGCCUGAUGCAGCGACGCCGCGUGAGGGAUGACGGCCUUCGGGUUGUAAACCUCUUUCGACUCCGACGAAGCGAAAGUGACGGUAGGAGUAUAAGAAGCACCGGCCAACUACGUGCCAGCAGCCGCGGUAAUACGUAGGGUGCGAGCGUUGUCCGGAAUUACUGGGCGUAAAGAGCUUGUAGGCGGUCUGUCGCGUCUUCUGUGAAAACUUGGGGCUCAACCUUAAGCUUGCAGGGGAUACGGGCAGACUAGAGUACUUCAGGGGAGACUGGAAUUCCUGGUGUAGCGGUGAAAUGCGCAGAUAUCAGGAGGAACACCGGUGGCGAAGGCGGGUCUCUGGGAAGUAACUGACGCUGAGAAGCGAAAGCAUGGGUAGCGAACAGGAUUAGAUACCCUGGUAGUCCAUGCCGUA
rnacentral:rRNA from 1 species